AAAAUGCCUCUAAAUGGUUGUGUGAUAGUGGAAACUGUACUGACAGUAUAUGAGUGCGAGACCAAUUUUACCCCUCCCUUCUGUCUCCACAUUUCCUCUUGGUCUGACUGACUGAUAUAGUUUUCCUACAACUUAGGUUAUGUUUAUGACAGUCAGUUGUCCUUAGAUCAGUUUUCCAGGAUUUCAUACCACUAGAACCACAGGAAACUGACAACUUCUCCUCAUGAUGCAGAGGUGGAGGACAAAUUACGUUUGUGAGAUAAUUAAUUAUCUCUAGUCACCAUACUGAGAUAAUGGUUGUGAAAACAUAAAUAUGCUCAUUCUAAAUACCAGUGUAAUUGCAAGUAAUAUGUCAGGAAGGAAAACUUAUGUAAUUCAUUAAAUAUAUACAACUGCUAAUUGCUACAGCUUCCUGUUACGCCAUAAUAUUACAUACUCUACAAAUUUAUAUGUAAAUGCAAAAAAUGCAACAAUAUGAUAUUGAAAACACCCAUACAAUUCAGGAGUGGACCUAAAAUUUUGGUUUAGAGGGGGUGGACAUUGCAAAAGAGUCUAGGGGCAUGCCCAUCUUGAAACUGUUUUGCAAAAACACCUCAUAUUGUGUAUCAGAUGUGUAUCUAACCCCUAAUUUAGCAAUAAUAUUUAACAUUAUAUCAUUUUUUUUCAGUUUGUAAAGUCCUUUACUAAAAUAUUUUACACACAGAAUCUGCACAAGUUUUAUUUUCCAACAGUCAUCCAGGACCUCCACUGCAGCAAUUAUAUAUACUACUGAUAGGGAUUUCUUCUGAAUAAAUGUCAAAAGUAUAGAGUUUAGGCCAUCAAACAUCUAAUUAAGCUGGAAAGACUUUCGGGAGCUAGCAUGGGACCAACCCCAUCUAAAUCUGCCCAUGGAAUUACUGUUCAUUCUGAGGAAAAAUCAGUACCUCAUGAUAAUUCCCUGUAGAUAUAUUAAAGUUUGAUACCUCAGGCUCUUUGAUUUGUUUCAGAAUCCGAUAAAACAGCGAAAAUGUAAUAAAAUACUACAAUCAGUGCCUGAUAAAUACUGAUGAUAGAGUAAUUACUAUACAACACAUGUUACAAUAAUUACAGCUGACAUUUACUGUUAUAUUCUUGAUUCUCUGUGAGUUCCAUUCCUGAGGUGUGUCCGUUAUGAUUGUAAGAUAGUUGUGUUCGUGGAGGUUGAAGGAUAUUCGUGUUCCGAUUUGUGUUUAGGUAUUGAAGGAUAUUUAACGGUUUCAAGAAACAAUAAACAACAGAAUCUGGUGUGAAUAAACAGUUUAAAACACAAUACAUAACAGAAAAUCUUAAUUGAAACAAACUAGCAGAUAAAAAAACUGCAUCAUGGGCCAAGGAGAAGGUCAAGGUGAAGGCAAAGGUCAAGGUGGUGGUUUGUGUCCCGGCAUACUGUGGGCCAUCCUCUGGUUCAUCAUUCUUAUAUUUCUCGGAUGGCCGAUUGCAUUCUUUGUAGCAUGGUGGUACAUAUUUCUGCUUCCAUUCUCAGCGUGUAUUGAGCCCCUUAAAGGGGCUUGUGAGGCCCUGUUGUCGGUUGUUAAACUACCAUUGACAUGCGCAGAAAAUAUGAUAGCAAUGAAACCACUGUGUGGUUAAAAUGUAGACUUUUUUUAAAACGCUCAAAGACAUGGACAAAUGGCUAAUUUAAAUAAUAGUAUAGAACUCACUCUGCAGUGAAAAACAUGGAUUCUAAUGACAAGGAAUAAACAUAAACUUUUAAGAAGAAACUGUGGAAAAAAACAGACCAGCCAACUACAAAUUGACCAAACAUGAAACGAAAGCAUAUGCACUAUAACAAGAGAGACAAUUGGAUUUACCGACAUCUUUGUAUAUUUUUUCAUAAUAAUAGCUUAACCAGUGAAAACUAUAUUUCAAGGAAAGAAACUUUUCAUUUGUUUAUCAAUUACAUUGUAAGUAAAUGUUUUCUACUUGCCAAAGUACACUUACUGAACAGACAUACAUAAGUGAAUCUCCAUAAACUUGUAUUAUAUAUCAUUUAUAUACGUAUUUAUUGAAUGCUAUACAGGCUACUCCUGAAGUCUGGAGGUAGACAAAGAGUUUUAUUAUUCCUGUUAUAAGGAAGAGUAAAAUCUGUUAAUGAACAGUCAUAAAAUCUUUGAACCUUAGAAUCAAGAAGUAAAUUCUUUGCCUCCAAAAUUGUGAAACGUUUUCUUCUAAAAUGUAGUCAAUAUUGCACUGAUAUUCAUAUAUGUUUGUAUUUUAAGUAACAGUAAACAAAGUCAACCACCUA